UGGAUUGAGCAACAAUAGAGUGUUUUCAUUGUCCUAGGGUGGUUUGGGUUGGAGCAUUGGAGCUCCGACGCUUGUGCCGCUGCGCCCCAAAGUUGUGAAAUGGCUUCUACUGGGGCUUAGAAAAGAACAAGCAGGUCAAGUGACUGAUUUUUGUAGACAUAUGUUCAUGGGGCUAGAAGGUUAAGCCAGGAACAACCUUAGUUGGGGCAUUACUGCAUAAAUAUGAAGACAAGAAGCCACGGGGCAGCGCGGACAUGAAUCAGCAGGGGCGGCGGUGCUCCGCUUAGAGGAGUUACAGGGGAGAGGAAGGAGGUCGGCGACGGGAGGGAAGAGCAAGCGGCCUU